rnacentral:rRNA from 1 species
GAUGAACGCUCGCGGCAGGCCUAACGCAUGCAAGUCGAGGGGGAAGUUACUUUCGGGUGACUGAGACCGGCGUACGGGUGCGUAACGCGUAUACAAUCUGCCUUUCACUGGGGGGUAGCCCGAAGAAAUUUGGAUUAAUACCCCAUAGUAUAUAGGGACGGCAUCGUUUUUAUAUUAAAGCUUAGGUGGUGAAAGAUGAGUAUGCGUUCUAUUAGCUAGUUGGAGAGGUAACGGCUCCCCAAGGCGAUGAUAGAUAGGGGUUCUGAGAGGGAUGUCCCCCACACUGGUACUGAGAUACGGACCAGACUCCUACGGGAGGCAGCAGUGAGGAAUAUUGGACAAUGGUCGGAAGACUGAUCCAGCCAUGCCGCGUGCAGGAUGAAGGUCUUAUGGAUUGUAAACUGCUUUUGUAAUGGAAGAAUAAGGGCUACGCGUAGUUUGAUGACGGUACCUUACGAAUAAGCAUCGGCUAACUCCGUG